GGUUGUAGGAUGGGGAAGCAAUGGGAUUUUGUACUAUCCUUCCCCCAGCAGUGGGGAGGGGAAUGGAGAUUUUACAGUAUCCUUCCCCUGCCACGCCCACCAAGC